rnacentral:rRNA from 1 species
AGAGUUUGAUCCUGGCUCAGGACGAACGCUGGCGGCGUGCCUAACACAUGCAAGUCGAACGGAGUUUGAGAGGAAGCUUGCGAAUCUUAAACUUAGUGGCGCACGGGUGAGUAACGCGUGGAUAACCUGCCUGGUAGACCGGGAUAGCAGCUGGAAACGGCUGCUAAUACCGGAUACGCUCGAGAAACCGCAUGGUAACUCGAGGAAAGAUUUAUUGCUAUCAGAUGGAUCCGCGUCCCAUUAGCUAGUUGGUGGUGUAAUGGACCACCAAGGCGACGAUGGGUAGCCGGCCUGAGAGGGCGAACGGCCACACUGGGACUGAGACACGGCCUAGACUCCUACGGGAGGCAGCAGUGGGGAAUCUUCCGCAAUGGGCGAAAGCCUGACGGAGCAACGCCGCGUGAGGGAAGAAGGCCUUCGGGUUGUAAACCUCUGUUUUCAGGGAAGAACGAAUGACGGUACCUGAAGAGUAAGCCCCGGCUAACUACGUGCCAGCAGCCGCGGUAAUACGUAGGGGGCGAGCGCUGUCCGGAAUUACUGGGCGUAAAGGGCGCGUAGGUGGUUCAUUAAGUUAGAGGUGAAAGUUCGGGGCUCAACCCCGUGAGGCCUCUGAUACUGGUGGACUUGAGUGCAGGAGAGGGGAGCAGAAUUCCCAGUGUAGCGGUGAAAUGCGUAGAUAUUGGGAGGAAUACCAGUGGCGAAGGCGGCUCUCUGGACUGUAACUGACACUGAGGCGCGAAAGCGCGGGGAGCAAACAGGAUUAGAUACCCUGGUAGUCCACGCCGUAAACGAUGAGUGCUAGGUGUUGCGGGUAUCGACCCCUGCAGUGCCGCAGUAAACACAAUAAGCACUCCGCCU